GGGGCUGAUUCUGGAUUCGACGGGAUUUGCGAAACCCAAGGUGCAUGCCGAGGGGCGGUUGGCCUCGUAAAAAGCCGCAAAAAAUAGUCGCAAACGACGAAAACUACGCUUUAGCAGCUUAAUAACCUGCUUAGAGCCCUCUCUCCCUAGCCUCCGCUCUUAGGACGGGGAUCAAGAGAGGUCAAACCCAAAAGAGAUCGCGUGGAAGCCCUGCCUGGGGUUGAAGCGUUAAAACUUAAUCAGGCUAGUUUGUUAGUAGCGUGUCCGUCCGCAGCUGGCAAGCGAAUGUAAAGACUGACUAAGCAUGUAGUACCGAGGAUGUAGGAAUUUCGGACGCGGGUUCAACUCCCGCCAGCUCCACCA
rnacentral:tmRNA from 5 species